CUGCAAUGUUACACUUCAAACUUCCGCCUUAUCCAUUAUGACUCUCCGCUCCAUGAACUGUUUUUAUGAAGAGGCACAUAACAAUCAAAAGGUUUGUGCAUGAAAACCCAAUAUCUACGGUCCACUACUCCAAAAAGAUUUCUGCAAUGUUACACUUCAAAC